rnacentral:rRNA from 2 species
CUAUACCUGCAAGUCGAACGAACUCUGGUAUUGAUUGGUGCUUGCAUCAUGAUUUACAUUUGAGUGAGUGGCGAACUGGUGAGUAACACGUGGGAAACCUGCCCAGAAGCGGGGGAUAACACCUGGAAACAGAUGCUAAUACCGCAUAACAACUUGGACCGCAUGGUCCGAGUUUGAAAGAUGGCUUCGGCUAUCACUUUUGGAUGGUCCCGCGGCGUAUUAGCUAGAUGGUGAGGUAACGGCUCACCAUGGCAAUGAUACGUAGCCGACCUGAGAGGGUAAUCGGCCACAUUGGGACUGAGACACGGCCCAAACUCCUACGGGAGGCAGCAGUAGGGAAUCUUCCACAAUGGACGAAAGUCUGAUGGAGCAACGCCGCGUGAGUGAAGAAGGGUUUCGGCUCGUAAAACUCUGUUGUUAAAGAAGAACAUAUCUGAGAGUAACUGUUCAGGUAUUGACGGUAUUUAACCAGAAAGCCACGGCUAACUACGUGCCAGCAGCCGCGGUAAUACGUAGGUGGCAAGCGUUGUCCGGAUUUAUUGGGCGUAAAGCGAGCGCAGGCGGUUUUUUAAGUCUGAUGUGAAAGCCUUCGGCUCAACCGAAGAAGUGCAUCGGAAACUGGGAAACUUGAGUGCAGAAGAGGACAGUGGAACUCCAUGUGUAGCGGUGAAAUGCGUAGAUAUAUGGAAGAACACCAGUGGCGAAGGCGGCUGUCUGGUCUGUAACUGACGCUGAGGCUCGAAAGUAUGGGUAGCAAACAGGAUUAGAUACCCUGGUAGUCCAUACCGUAAACGAUGAAUGCUAAGUGUUGGAGGGUUUCCGCCCUUCAGUGCUGCAGCUAACGCAU